CCUACGGGAGGCAGCAGUGGGGAAUAUUGGACAAUGGGCGAAAGCCUGAUCCAGCAAUGCCGCGUGAGUGAUGAAGGCCUUAGGGUUGUAAAGCUCUUUUACCAGGGAUGAUAAUGACAGUACCUGGAGAAUAAGCUCCGGCUAACUCCGUGCCAGCAGCCGCGGUAAUACGGAGGGAGCUAGCGUUGUUCGGAAUUACUGGGCGUAAAGCGCGCGUAGGCGGCGAUUCAAGUCAGAGGUGAAAGCCCGGGGCUCAACCCCGGAACUGCCUUUGAAACUAGAUUGCUAGAAUCUUGGAGAGGUCAGUGGAAUUCCGAGUGUAGAGGUGAAAUUCGUAGAUAUUCGGAAGAACACCAGUGGCGAAGGCGACUGACUGGACAAGUAUUGACGCUGAGGUGCGAAAGCGUGGGGAGCAAACAGGAUUAGAUAACCCUGGUAGUCACGCCGUAAACGAUGAUAACUAGCUGUCCGGGCACUUGGUGCCUGGGUGGCGCAGCUAACGCAUUAAGUUAUCCGCCUGGGGAGUACGGUGCAAGAUUAAAACUUAAAUGAAAUUGAACGG
rnacentral:rRNA from 1 species